rnacentral:tRNA from 1 species
GCGGCCGUAGUCUAGCCUGGUCUAGGAUGGCGGCCUUCCGAGCCGCAGAACCCGGGUUCAAAUCCCGGCGGCCGCACCA